rfam:Alcanivorax pacificus W11-5, complete genome.
CAAGGUCGCUAUUCAGUAGGAGGGUAGCGCCCCGCUGAAGUCCCGAGUCAUGGUCCGCUGCCCGUAAGGUCAGAGGUUAAGCGUUGGCAAGUGAAGGUGCAGGCUCGGUAUGGAGCUCCGAAUUUAUGUCUUCCGGAAUCUCACUGAG